rnacentral:lncRNA from 10 species
GUUGACUAAAGCCAAGUGUGGUCUCUGAAAGGCUAAGAGUCUGAAUGUCUAGUCUAACAUAAGAAGAACCCCUAGUGAGCAUUGCAGGCAUCAUGUUUUAUAUUAUGGUCUCUGAAAUAUUGGAGGGGACAGUGAUCAAUCUCCACUGAAGCUGGGAGAAGAGGAAACUAUCAAAUGCCCCUGAGUUACAAGGAAUGAAGUAUUUCCUGAUUGAUGAUUAAAUAAUUGGGGUGGAUUCGCUAGGAAGCUGAUGGAGGCCUCUUGGGACAGCCUUUAAAGAGGAAAGGUGAUCAUUUUUAGAGUCCACCCGUAAGACAGGCCCUCAUAGUCUUCCCACAUAAAGAACACGUUCAAACAGGCAUUCCGUCUUCUAUGCAAGCACAUUGCUUUUUUGUAGAAGAAUUUUUAGUCGGCAUAUCAGGUUAUGUAAAGUAGAGCCUGCUGCCAAGUGCGGAACACAUUUGGCUUUGCAAGUGGUAAUUAUAGAGCCAGCUCUGGCAGGGACCAGGCCCUUCACUUUCCAGAUGAGCAAACUGAGGUCCAGAGGGUGGCAGGCAGUUGCACGGUUGCUCAGCUAAUUGAUGGCAAUGAGGACUGGAACUCAAUUCUUCUGAUCCUGGGCCCAGAUUUCUCAUUUUCCUCCACCAGCAAUUGAAUAUGAGGGGCCGUAUUCUACAAAAGGGGCAUCAGCUACUGCAAACAGGUG